rnacentral:lncRNA from 1 species
AUACAGAAAUGGUACAUCUACGAUUCAGCUCAAAGAUUUUGGAAAGAGGAGAAUGAUGCGUGAUGAUGCAGUGGCAGGCUCUGACUACAGCAAUGUGAAUCCAGAUUCAACUGCAGCUCCAUGAAGAGAAGUGCAUCAUCAGCAACAUGCAAAACAAAAGUCAUGUUUAAACAGUGUUGAGAGCAUUUAACAACUGCUGCCAUCCAAACAUAAGAAACAUG